GACGAACGCUGGCGGCGUGCCUAAUACAUGCAAGUCGAGCGAAGUUUUUCUGGUGCUUGCACCGGAAAAACUUAGCGGCGAACGGGUGAGUAACACGUAAAGAACCUGCCUCAUAGACUGGGACAACUAUUGGAAACGAUAGCUAAUACCGGAUAAUAGCAUUAACUGCAUGGUUGAUGUUUAAAAGUUGGUUUUGCUAACACUAUGAGAUGGCUUUGCGGUGCAUUAGCUAGUUGGUGGGGUAAAGGCCUACCAAGGCGACGAUGCAUAGCCGACCUGAGAGGGUGAUCGGCCACACUGGGACUGAGACACGGCCCAGACUCCUACGGGAGGCAGCAGUAGGGAAUCUUCCGCAAUGGGCGAAAGCCUGACGGAGCAACGCCGCGUGAGUGAAGAAGGAUUUCGGUUUGUAAAGCUCUGUUGUUAGGGAAGAAUGAUUGUGUAGUAACUAUACACAGUAGAGACGGUACCUAACCAGAAAGCCACGGCUAACUACGUG
rnacentral:rRNA from 1 species